GAACGCAUCUUGCGCUCUUUGGCCAUUCCGAAGGGCAUGCCUGUUUGAGUAUCAUGAACACCUCAACUCUCAUGGCUUGCCAUGAUGAGCUUGGACUUUGGGGGUCUUGUCGGCCUGCGGUCGGCUCCUCUCAAAUGGAUCAGCUUGCCAGUGUUUGGUGGCGUCACAGGUGUGAUAACUAUCUGCGCUUGUGGUUUCCCAUCAGAUAACCUUCAGCGAUGGAGGUUCGCUGGGGCUCAUAAAUGUCUCUCCUAAGUGAGGACAGCCCUUUGAACGUUUGAUCUCAAAUCAGGUAGGACUACCCGCUGAACUUAAG
rnacentral:misc_RNA from 1 species